AAAUUUAUAUGUUCGCCUAACAAGUUUAGUGCUUAACCUUAACUUCACAAUGUCUUCAUCCUUAUCGCCUCAUCCUUGUGCCGCCCAUCACAUAAUUAGUUCUUCUCCAAAUUCUGAAAAAUAUAGUUUUUCCCCCCCAAAUUUUCCUUAUCCUUUCUCCCCAUCCACGAUUUCUUCUUCUUCUUCCACGAUUUCGUCCCCUUCUUUUCACUAAUAUCCCACCACACCCAAGCUUCAAACACCUUCUUCAACAUCUUCACCGAAAGCUUCAUAUCACGGCUGUUCAUCGUUCAUCUGCAUUCACCGCUGCAUUCCACCUCUCCAAAAACACGUUCCAUAUUCUUCAUUUUUUGUUCGUCCAUCCAUGUUCACCGCCACCCUCUCAAACUUUCUCCAUGUUGCUGUCUUCGACUCUCUCCCUGCUGCUCUAUCUCCAUCUGUCCACGCGAAGCAUUCAAGUGUUCGUCCAUCCUUUGGGCCUUCAUUUCUCCAGGUUUCACUCGAUUAAUUUAUAAUUUUCCUUUAAUUUCUUUGUUUUAUUAUGAUCUCCGCCUCAAUUUUUCUAGGGUUUUUAAUUUAUUAAUCUAGUUUGAAAUGUUUUAAGUUUAAUUGGUUAACUUAAAAAGAAAAAAGAAAAAAGAAAAAAAUGGUUAACUUAACGUCUCUUGCUCCCUCUAACUCAUAUGAUCUCUGUUUUGCCAAAAAGAUUUCACUUCAGCCAUUAAUAUACUAGAAGGAAAAAAAAAAUUCAAAAGGAAAAAAGUGAAUAGUUUGUCUCAUUUUCAUUGCAGCCCUAACUAUUUUCUCUAAUGUACCAAGUAAUUGGUGAUGUCUUAUUGUUAAUUUCUUUUAUGUUCUUCUCCAGUUAAGGACUUGUAAAUUUGUAUUUAAUUAAAGAGCUGACUCAUCACUUUGAUACAUAAGUCAUAAUAUUGUGUUCUUUUUUCCCCUUAAUUCUUUGCAAUGGCCGAAGUAAGUUAGAUGAUUUAGCCUUUUAUUUUAUUCUUCAAAGUUUAUUUAUUGUUUGUUUCCUUGGCCACGAUUGCUUUGUAGAUUAUGAUAAGACAAUGCUAAUGGCAGUUCGUUUCUACUUAGAUAUAAAAUCAAGCCAUUUCGAAAUGCAUUUACACCUUAUUAAGUUUGGCCUCUUUCGUUAAUCCAAAGCUGCAAGAAAAUUUAUUGAUUGCAUGAAACAGUGUAUCAUCAGAACAUAUGCUGAUGGAAAGAGGGAAGCUCCGAUCCAUUAAUAAGAGGUAUGCACACAAAGCCAACUUUUCAAACUCAUUAAUCUUCUUAUUUACACAUUUUCCCUGUCUUACGACUUGGCCCUUUUUAUUGCAACUCCCAAGGAAUGGGAGAUAACCUGGAUUUUCAUUUUGGAAUCAGAUUCUUCUUGAGAUUGCUUUUGUAAGAAAGUGGAGUAAAAAAAAAAGUUUUAGUAGUUCCAACUGUAUAUGGAAUUGUUAUAUUAUAUCCUACCAUAACCUACCAUAUUCUUUCUACCUUCAAAUAAGUUUUACCAAGACACAACAAGCUAGAGGGAAGUAUAGUUUACUUCUCCAUGUUGUAGUUAGAGUUGCAGUACUGUGAUUGUUGGACUGGUAGUUCAUAGCUAUGUUUGAGUGCGUAUUCUUUUAAGUUUCAAGAAGAUGAUGCAAGGUCCUAUGGAGGUACACAGAAUUCGGUAAGAGACAGACCAUAAAAGUUUCUUGUGAGAUACAAAAUUUGAAAUUGAAAGAGGUUGGAUGAAGAGGUUGCAAAAGGCAAUCAACCAACCACAACAUUUACCUCUACAAUAAAGUUCUGAACAACAUUGUGUUGAUGAGGUUGUUGAAAUUGAUGAAUUAAGAAGUGAGGGACCAUGGUCAGACAAGAGUGAAUCUUUAUUUGUAGAUCUAAUGGAUGAAGAGGUUGCAAAAGGCAAUCAACCAACCACAACAUUUGCAAAGACUAGUUGGAAUCAUAUGAGAAGUCAACUACACAUGAUAUAAUUAUUCUCAUGAUCAAUUGAAAAACAAGUUCAAUAAAUUAAGAUAAAUUUACAAAGACUUCAAAAAGAUAGAGUGAUAUGACAAAAAAAAUGGUUGGGAUCCAUUAUUAAGCACUAAUAUCUUGAAGAUAAGCAAUGGAAGGAACUGUUUAAGGUAUAAUACUUGCAUUUUUAUUUUUCCAUUUCUAAUCAUCUAAAACUUGUUUUCUAUAAGUGAAUAAGAGAGCUAAAAAGUUAUUAUUAAGCACUAAUAUCUUGAAGAUAAGCAAUGGAACGAACUGUUUAAGGUAUAAUACUUGCAUUUUUUUUUUUCCAUUUCUAAUCAUCUAAAACUUGUUUUCUAUAAGUGAAUAAGAGAGCUAAAAAGUUUUAAAAAGUUGUUCCCCACAUUAUGAAAAGCUCGUGAGAAAUUUUGGAGAACCACUUCAGUAGAUAUAAAGGCUUGCCCAUCAACAAGACUUGUUUCAGAUUUUCAAGAUGAAAAUGAAAAUGAUGUUGCAACAAUACAAACUUUGGUAUUGAAGAAAUUGAUAAUGAAAAAAGAAAAUAUAAUGUGUGUCUAAUCAUUUAAUAGGUUAUUCACGUAUGUCAUGUCUGGUUGGGAAGGUGCCAGUGAUUCUCGCAUACUUCUAGAAUGUAUCAAGAAUCACAAGAAAUUGUUUUCUAUAAGUGAAAUGUCAUUGAACGUUAUUUUGGUGUUUUGAAGGCUCGAUUUUCUAUUCGUAAGCAAAUGUCUCUAUAUUCGAUCAAACAUAAAAAUAAAUACCGAUAACAUGUUGCAUAAUUCAUAAUUCACAAUUCACAACGAUUUUAGCAAUGAAUCAAUGAUCGUUAAAGAUACACAUGAUUUCUCAGCCAAUUUGCAUAGUGAUAUUAUUGAAUUAGAUGUGAGUCGACAUCAUCUAAGAGAAAUCGCUUGAGCGUGCCAAUCAAAUUUGGACAGCAUUUGAAGGAUAAAUACAACUUUAUGUCUAUCUUAUUCUUUUUAUUUGUGUAAUGGGAUUUCUUUGUAUUAAAUGAUAUAAAUUUUUGAUCAUUUUCAUUAUUAUGUUUCAUGCAGGACAUAUAUUUUUGUUUAAUGUUUAAUUCAAUUAGAUGUAAAUAAAAUAAAAAAUAAAUCAUGAAAAGAAGCAAUGGAACGAACUAUUAGAAAACAAGAAAUGAAAAAUAGGAAACAAGAAAUAGUUAUCAAACACAUUUUCUGUUUCUCUUUUUUUCAAGAAACAGAAACAAUAAUUAUCAAACACAUUUAUACUAUUUGUUCUAAGAAAAAGAACAUGGAAUAAGAAACAGAAAAUAGAGGACGGAAUGUUACCAAACAGGCCCCUCAAUACCCUUUACGAACUAGAAAGGAGACCUAAUGGACCUACAGAUCAUAAGCUAUAACGACAUGAAAUCCAUUGGCUAAACUCAUUAACCACACUAAUGAAAUCCAUUGGCUAAACUCAUUAACCACACUAAUCAAUAUUUGUGAUGUAAUUCAAAGUUAGUUAUAUUUUUUCAAAAUGAAUUUUAUGCCUUCAAAUGCUAAGAGAGAGGGUUUUUGUUAAGAAUCUUCAGGUUAGUUACAAAGGUAGUUGUGGGGUAGUUUGUUAUAAAAUAGUUAGACAGUUAUGGAUUUAUGAUAACUAAUCAGAAUAGAUGAUUAGUUUUAACUACUAACUAUUUAUUUUUGUUAUCUUAUUACAUCAUUCCAACCCCUAAGAAUGGACUCGUCCGCGAGUGCAUUAGCUGGCUAGUGUGAAGUCGUCUGGUGCAUAGUAUGACUUUAGAUCAACAAUGUUGAACACUGGAUGUAUGUAUAGAUCACUCGAUAGUUCAAUCUUGAAGGAAUUAUCUCUAUACUUCUUUAGGAUUCGGAAUGGACCAAGCUGUGUCUUUGAUUUUAUUGUAGGUGCCAAUUGGAAAUCGAUUCUUUCGAAGGUGGAUCAUUACUAAGUCUCCUUCAGAAAAGAUAGCUUGUCUUCUUUUCUUAUCAGUUGUCUUUCUAUAGGAUUCUAUUGUUUGCAUCAAGUGGUCAUGAACUUCUUUAUGGGGUCUUUCAAUGUUCUCUAUCUUCUUUUCUGCUUGUUCAUUAAUGUCCACAGUUGUAGGGAGUGAGACAAGGUUAAAAGUUAACCGAGGUUGUUUAGUGUAUACCACUUCGAAUGGACAUCUGCCAGUUGAUCGAUUCUUCAUAUUUUUUAAUGCAAAUUCGGCUUGGGCAAGAGCCAAAUCCCACUUCGAUUUAGUUCCACUAAGACAACGUAUUAGGUUGCCUAGUGUUUUAUUAGUGAGCUCGGUCUAUCCAUCUGUCUAUGGGUGUGUCGUAAUACUGUACUUCAAGGUUGUGUCAAAUUUCUUCCAUAGAGUCCUCCAAAAGUGGCUUAGGAAUUUCACAUCCAGAUCAGACACAAUUGUUUUAGGCACUCCAUGUAGGCGGACUACCUCUUUAAGAAAGAGGUUAGCUAUGUAGAUUGCAUCAUUCAUUUUUUUUGCAAGCUAUAAAGUGGGUCAUCUUGCUAAAUUUGUCUACUACAACCAUGACUGAGUCAUAAAGCCUUUGAGUAUUUUGCAGCUCUACCACGAAGUCCACUAAUAGGUCUUCCCAAAUAGAUGUUGGCAUAGGAGUGGAAAAUAUAGCCUGACAUUAGUACUUGAGCCUUUAGCUCUUUGGCAUAUGAAACAUCUAUUUACAAAGUUGUUCGAAUCUCUUCUUAGUUGUGGCCAAUAGUACCUCUUGGAAACUGUCUCAAAUGGCUUAUCUUGCCCAAAAUGUCAAGCCAAUCCACAAGAAUGGGCUUCCUUCAAUAAGGCUUCUUAGAAUGAAGUGUGAGGUAUGCAUAAUUGUUCCCCUUUGAAUAGGAAGCCUUCCACAAUAUGGAAGUUUUCAAUCUUGAUGUAAUUAAUCAUUUAUACAAUACUCUGAAAUAUCUUCUUUAUAUAAAUCAGGAAGAUGUUUAAAUGUCACAACUUCUGAAGAAAAAGAAGUGUAAGUAGGUAAUUCUUUCUACUGAGAGCAUCUGCCCCUUUAUUUUCUUUCCACUUUGAUGUUUGAUCACAUAGUCAAACCUUUGUAGGAUAGAUAUCCAUCGUGCGUGCAUCCGACUAAUAUUUCUUUGAGACUGGAGGUAUUUUAGGAAAAAAUGGUCGGUGAGUAGUAUAAAUUUCUUGCAUAAUAGGUAGUGUUCCCAUUGUUUUAGUGCUCGAACAAGACUAAGUUCAUAAUACACUCAGGAUUGAGACUAAGUUACCAAGGUCAUCGGAUGGAACUCGUAGCCAAUCGACUGAGAAUUCAAUCUUAUUGUUUGCAUAAAACAGAAAAUUACACAAAAUUACACGUCUCUGUUUCCCUCUCUUCCAAGAGAUAACAGAAAGUUUCAAAUACUGCAAAAAAUAUCCAUAUCCCUCCCUCCCUUAACAAACUUAUUUAUAUGGCUAACUAACCUAUCCCUAACCAACCAAUUACUCACACGUGUCUCCCUCCCUUAACAACUUAUUUUAUUUAUAUGGCUAACUAACCUAUCAUUAACACGUGUCUCCCCCCUUAACAAACUUAUUCCCCUUCCUCCUGUAGUGAUAUAAUAUUGGAGGUCUAACAUUACUCUCCUUCUCCAAAUUCACCUUGUCCUCAAGGUGAAAAUCUGGAAAACGCUGCUUCAACUCCUCAUAUAGCUCCCAAGUAGCCUCAUGUUGUGGAAGGCCCUUCCAUUGCACUAACACAUCCCAGUCUCCCGCCUUGUUUUUUGAAUAACUAUAAACCUUCUCGGGAGUAUCCCUCCAUCAUUCAUGAUUUUCUGUUAAACAGGGAACAUCAUGCUUAUCUUCCUUGUGCUCUCCCAACACCUUUUUUAGCUGCUGGAUACAUGAAAUACCGGGUGUAUGGUUGAAUUCUCUGGUAAUUCCAGCUUGUAGGCCACCGGACCAAUUUUAGCUAUCACCUUGUACGGUCCAAAGAACUUAGGAGAAAGUUUUUCAUUUCGUUUUCUUCUGACAGUCACUUGUCGGUAUGGCCUUAUCUUCAAUAAAACCAAAUCUCCAACAUGGUAAUGAACCUCUCUUCUCUUGGUAUCGGCAUAUUUCUUCAUCUUGUCCUGUGCAACUCUCAAGUGUUCACGUAUGGCUCCUAACACCACAUCUCUUUCUCUCAGCUGUUCAUCUAACAUAGAGUUAGUAGUGGCCCUCUCUCCAUAGUAUAUCAAGGGAGGUGGCAAACGCCCGUACAUAACCUGAAAUGGUGUGACUCCGAGUGCACGCUGAUAUGUAGUGUUAUACCAAUAUUCUGCCCACGGUACCCAUUUAACCCAUUCCUUAGGCUUCUCUCCACAAAAGCAACGCAAGAAUGUCUCCACUCCACGGUUAACAACUUCUGUUUGACCAUCCGUUUGUGGAUGAUAUGCUGUGCUGUGGUUCAAUUUGGUUCCUGCUACGCGAAAUAAUUCCCUCCAGAAGUGACUUAAAACACCUUGUCUCUAUCUGAAACAAUGGAUUUGGGAUAUCCAUGUAACCGCACGACUUCCUUCACAAAUAUUUCAGCUACCGUCUUUGCUGAAUAUGGAUGUUUCAUAGGGAUGAAAUGUCCAUAUUUACUGAACCGAUCAACCACUACAAAUAAGACUUCAUACCCUGCUGCUUUAGGUAAUCCCUCCACAAAAUCCAUCGAAAUAUCCUCCCAUACCCGAUUGGGUACCUCUAACGGAGUUAACAGUCCAGCUGGUGAUAGCGCCAAAGUCUUAUUUCUUUGACAUAUCAUGCACUCCUCGCAAUACUUCUUCACUUCCUGCUUCAUACCUUCCCAAUGUAACUCCGCAGCCAUCCUUUUGUAUGUCCUUAAGAACCCCGAGUGACCCCCAAAUACCGAAUCAUGAUAAGUGUGUAAGAUGGUGGGAAUCAACUUAGAUGUUUUAGAUAAUUCUAUUCGACCCUUGUACAUCAGCAGCCCCUGUUUGAUUGAAUAUCUUCCCUCCUCCAACUCUUCGGUCUCACUCAAUUUCUGCAUAACAUUCUUCAACUUCUCGUCUUGUGCCACUUCUGCCUUGAUGACUUCGACAUCGAUCAGUUUAGGGGCUGUCAACUGAUUCAAGUGUAUUGUUGGUGGUACUCUGGACAGUGCAUCCGCGGCUUUAUUCUCUAACCCCGGUUUAUACACCACCUCAAAGGAAUAUCCCAGAAGUUUGGAUAUCCACUUCUGAUAUUGGGGCUGUAUCGCUCUCUGUUCCAGCAGAAACUUCAAGGAACGCUGAUUAGUCUUGACUAGAAAACUCUUUCCCAACAAGUAUGGACGCCACCUUUGCACCGCCAUUACUACUGCCAUCAACUCUCUCUCGUAUACAGGUUUGGCUCUAUCCCGCACUGCCAGUGUAUGACUAUAAUACGCAAUUGGUCGUUGGUUCUGGAUUAACACAGCCCCCAACCCGAAUCCAGAAGCGUCAGUUUCUAUUACAAAGGGCAUAUUGAAAUCAGGUAGAGCUAACACGGGAAGUGUCAUCAUGACUUGUUUCAGCCUAUUGAAUGCUUCCUGAACCUCUCCCGUCCAUUUAAAUCCUCCUAUCUUCAGUAAUUGUGUCAAAGGAGCUGCAAUUGUCCCAUAAUUUUGGACAAACUUGCGAUAAUACCCUGUCAGACCAAGGAAUCCCCUUACUUCCCUUACGUUAACAGGAACGGGCCACUCCCUUAUUGCCCUGAUCUUUUCAGGAUCCACCUCAACUCCAUCCCCUGAAAUAAUAUGUCCUAAGUAGUCCACCCGAGACUGAGCAAAGUUACAUUUCUUCCUGUUUGCAUAGAGUUCAUUCCUCCUCAAUACUUCUAAUAUUGCCCUCAAAUGACUCAGAUGAUCUUUCAACCCCUUGCUGUAGAUCAAAAUAUCAUCAAAGAAUACUAAGACGAACCUUCUUAGGUAGGGUUUGAAUAUAGUAUUCAUCAAUGAUUGAAAAGUGGAUGGUGCAUUAGUCAACCCGAACGGCAUUACCAAAAACUCAUAAUGACCCUCAUGAGUUCUGAAUGCUGUCUUCUCAAUGUCAUCAGUACUCAUCCUAAUUUGAUGAUACCCUGAUUUUAGAUCAAUCUUCGUAAAAACUGUGGCUCCAUUCAACUCAUCAAACAACUCCUCAAUCACUGGAAUUGGGAACUUGUCUGGUACGGUAACGUUAUUCAAGGCCCUGUAAUCCACACAAAAACGCCAGCUUCCAUCUUUCUUUCUUACCAAUAGUACUGGACUGGAAUAAGGACUUGUGCUUGGCUGUAUUACUCCCGAUGCUAGCAUUUCUUCCACCAGUUUCUCCAUUUCUGCCUUCUGGUGAUAUGCAUACCUAUAGGGUCGUACGUUCACUGGAUCGGUUCCCUUCUUUAGGUGAAUCUGGUGUUCUAUUACUCUUCGUGGUGGCAACGUUUCGGGCCACUCAAAGACAUCUUCGAAGCUUUUCAACACUGCUGCUACUGACUCCUCUACAGCCAAAGUUUCAUCAAACGAGUUAUCCCUUUCUAAGUCUUCCCUUCUUUCUAAAGCUCUGCAUUCGACCAAAAACCCUUGAUCCUUGUCUCCCCAAGAUUUCAUAAGGGUCUUUAAGCUGACUCUUGCCUUUGUUAGACUGGGGUCUCCCUUUAUAACAAUCUUCUCUCCGUGGUGGGUAAAAGUCAGAAUUAAGUUUUUCCAGUCUACUUCCGUUAUACCAAGAGAGUAUAACCAUUGCAUCCCCAAAAUUGCAUCCACGCUUCCUAGCUCCAGUGGCAAGAAAUCAUCAAUAACUCUCCAUUCUCCAAUUAUCAUCUCAAUGGCUUCACAAACUCCCUUCCCUUUUAUGGCCGUUCCCGAGCCUAAUAUGACUCCAUAAUUUGUAGUGCUUUUCGUGCUUAUCUGCAGUUCCUCCACCAAGCUUUCAGAAAUGAAGUUAUGUGUAGCUCCACAAUCUACUAAUACAAUGAUCUCCUUUCCUAGUAAUUUUCCCUUCACCUUCAUAGUUCCUGGAUUAGUUAAUCCCACGACGGAGUUUAUCGAAAACUCCACCACAGUCUGCUCUUCUUGGAGAACUUCAGCCCCAUUUAACUCUUUCUGCUUUGCCUUCUCUUCUUCAACGAUUUCAUAUUCCUUAUUAUCCCUCAUCACUACCAACAUACGUAACUCCCUCUGCUCCUUUAUCUUACACCUGUGGUCAUGAGAAUAUUUCUCAUUGCAGCGAAAACAGAGUCCCCUCUCUUUUCGUGAUUGAAAUUCGGCAUCAGAUAGUCUCUUCGUUGGGCCUGUUCUCCGCACCUCGUCGCCAGCCGUUCCUCUCAACGUGACAGUUCUCAUCGGCCAGUUCCAAUUUCCAGAAUUCCCAACUGUGCUGGUUUUGCUCCCGCUUCCAGAAUUGCUCAGUUUUGUUCCCGAAUAACCAGGGAGGUUUGCUUCUCGUCUAAUAUCUUCUCUAUUUUCUACUUUCUGCGCGAUUCUCAUCAUUUGUGAUAAUCCUUAAGGCUCACAGAAAUCCAUCUCGGCUUGUAUCCAGGGCUUCAAUCCUGACAUGAACGUCUCUUCACCACUUUAUCGGCCAGAUCCGACAGAGGUGCUACUAAUUUAUCAAACAAAUUGCGGUAUUCUUCCACUGUAGUUGUCUGUUGAAUGCGCAAGAACCGACCGUAUAAAGAUCCCUCCCUUGUUGAUCGAAAUCGAAUCAACACUCUUUCUUUUAAAUUUGCCCAAUCAGCGAACUUAUCCCGCUCUUCUUGAGACCGAUACCAAUUCAGUGCGGGUCCUUCGAAGCUAAUCGUUGCCACGGUUAUCUUUUCGAAAUCAUUUAGAUUAUGAAUUUGAAAAUACCUUUCGGCGCGAAACAACCAUGAAUCCGGAUCAUCUCCAUUGAAGAUUGGCAUCUCCACUUUUUUGAAUUUGUUGCGGUCGCCGUUAGCGUCUUCACUCGUUUUCAUUUCUUCCUUCUUCGGUUCGUUUUCGCGAAUGGAAGUUCCUUCGCCGUCACCGCUGUUCUUCAUCGGAGUACCCCGAAUUGAUAACUCGGUGAUCCUUUCGUUCAUCAUGGAUCUCUCUAGGGCGGCCGACUCCAUGAAUCGUAACAUCAUUUGGUUCUAUUUUUCCAUGUUUUUCGAUAUUUCGGUCAACAUUUUUUCGAUAAUUGGCAUUUUACUCAUCUCCUUCUUGAUGCUCUGAAUUUCCUGGUCAUACGACUCCAUCUUUUCUUCCAUCCGAGUCUGCACCAUCUUCGUUUACUUCUUCCAAGAUCACGCUCUGAUACCAAUUUGAUGGAACUCGUAGCCAAUCGACUGAGAAUUCAAUCUUAUUGUUUGCAUAAAACAGAAAAUUACACAAAAUUACACGUCUCUGUUUCCCUCUCUUUCAAGAGAUAACAGAAAGAUUCAAAUACUGCAAAAAAUAUCCAUAUCCCUCCCUCCCUUAACAAACUUAUUUAUAUGGCUAACUAACCUAUCCCUAACCAACCAAUUACUCACACGUGUCUCCCUCCCUUAACAACUUAUUUUAUUUAUAUGGCUAACUAACCUAUCAUUAACACGUGUCUCCCCCCUUAACAAACUUAUUCCCCUUCCUCCUGUAGUGAUAUAAUAUUGGAGGUCUAACAUCAUCCUAAUAAAAUAAAAACAUGUUUAGUUAACAGAGUUACAUCUAGUGGUUACUAUUUUGUGGUAUGUUUUAUGCAAACUCAUUUCAUAGGAUAUCAUUCUCACUCACAUGUCACCUACACAAAUGUGUUGGAUCAUUACAUUUGUAUCAAAUACAAAGUCAGUCAUAUUCAUAGUGUUACCAGGAUAAGGUAUCCAACUUUAUCCCUAUAUUAUAGACCUCUUAGGUUGUAUAUUGAAUAUUGAUCUUUGUAUGUCUCUACAUACUAUUCAAGACUCAUCAAACAACUUAAGAUGUUAGUUUAUUCUAUCAGAUUUAGGUUGUUAAGAUAAAACUAAUAAUAUAAACAAUAACAUUUAUUAUGACAAUUAUAAUAAUAGCACUUUAUUAAUAACGGUCAACAAAUUACAUUUACUAUAUGUGAGUUUUAGGACAUAAAACCCAACAAAGGACUCCUAGUUUUGAGGUUUGGAAUUAGGGACGCCCAGCUUUAAGGAACAGAGUUAGGGAUGCUCUUCUUUGAGGUUUGGAUUUGGUAUUGAUUAGCUCUGUCAUCUCGUAAGUAGAUUCUUGGUCCUAUAUGAGGACAAACUAGUACUUGCGUACUGAUUUUGAAAAUGUUUGCCAAACUAUCGUAUUUAUGUUAUCGUUAUAUUUAUUGUUUAAAUGUUCAUGAAGUAUUUUUUAAAACCUAAUAACUCAUUGGUUGUUUAGCUCAUACUUUCAAAGAAAAAUUCCACUUUCCAUGUAAAGGUCGUGUUCUCGAAACCUGAUACAUCAAUGUCUGUCUGCUGAAGGGUUUUGUUAUUUUUAUAUAUGUGUCUUAUUGAUUUCCAAAUAACAUUUACUUGGUCAUUUAAUUGUGGUAGACUUAGGUUAGGGUCUAUAUUCAUGUAAUUAUGGGUUUUGGUAAGUGUUUGUAUUAAACUUAUGUAAGGUUUGUUUAAUGAAUGGGUUGCACUGCAGUUUUGUAUAUUCGUUGAUUGUCUUUCUUCGUAUUGUGUUUAUUUAAAAGUUGAUGGUUAAGGGUCAGGUAGUGUCAUUUAAAAGGGGGUGAUAUUGAUUGACUUCACAUUAUCUCUUGGGUUUGAAGUGAGUGAUCCGAAAGGGGGUAUGACAUGUUUUCUUCCUCUUCCAAAAGGAAAAAUGAUCCCACCAUCCUAAUUCUUUCCAUGAGAUUAGUGAGAAAGUCUUGAAGGUUGUGUCCGUGAAGAAUUCAUGCCAAAAACCAAUUCUUGGAGAAACAAAGGAAGACUUGUCAACAAGGGUGAGUUUGAUCUUGUGUGUACAUCUUACCUAAUGUUUUGUGAAUUAUAGCAUGCUUAAGUUUAAAUAGUAUUUUUUUAUUAUGUUUUUGACAUGUAUUUCAUUGUUAAUUCCAAAAGCAUAAUUGAAUGCACAAGGUGAUCAAUUAGUUCCGAUGGGAUUCGAUCCCUUCAUUGUAAUAUAUAGAUAAGGUUAGGUGCCUUAUUUCGUUAACACUAAGGAGACACACUUUGUAAAUGAUACAAAAGUUAUAAGAUGUUAUAAAAUGAUUUGAUCCUAAUUAUUCAUGCAGGAACAUGGUUUGUAUAAGAUUAGAUUGGUAAAUGAUUGAUUUUUCUUUUCAACUGCA
rnacentral:lncRNA from 1 species